CCUCCCCCGCUAUUUUAAAUUCAUUUUCCAUUUGCAUGAUUUCCUUCGCUCUAAAGCACGAGGAGGAAGUCCAGGCCGUGCUGCCCGGGCACACUGAUUCAGUCUGGGCACGCCAAGCCAAAACCAAAAUCAGGAGAAACGGGCAAAAAAAAUAAUCUGUGUUAUCAAAUUGUGUGCUCUUUAACAAGCUCCCCUUUUAUUAUCAGCCUGGUACAGAUGCAAGCAAAUAGUUUGCCUCAAAUGCUUUUCACAAACCCAGGAGUGUCAGAGUUGCAUCCAAGUGAGGACACCGAGACAUCCCUGAGGCUGGAACAUAAAACAAAGACGUGAAGGCAAGGCCUGGCACCUUGUGCCGGCCAAAAUCCUCAAGCAAGAGCAGAAUUUACAAAGCCAGUGCUUAAAAAUGACCGGCCUCCUGUCUUCCCAGGCUUUAAUAAAUGGUGCUGGGGAAGCGCCCUUUGUCUCUGUCCGAAGCUGACCCGCAGGAUGCGCGUACCGGGCAUGUAACAGUUUUCCCCGCUUCCCCGCAAGCCAAAUCGUUUUCGCACAAGGUAUGGAAGGGGAUUCAUGGAGCUGCCGGAACCCGGCGGACAAGGCAGAAGCGGAUGGGCAGGCAAGAGAAACGAGACGCCUGAGGGGUGUUAACAACCAUCCUAACAACAUGGAAGCGGCCCCAAAAACAUCGAACCGAGCAGCGCCAAAGAACAAGGCGAUGGCAGUAACAUCCAGUUUGAAAAUGGAAUUUGGCCCAAAGGUCGAGGCAAAGAGCCUUUCCUUUUCAGGUGGAAAGGGAUGGAGCAGCACCAGGGGCCAACUGACGUGGUGCCAUCCCCACAUCCCCAGUGGGACCCGGCAAGCAGAGGUACGGCUGCAGACAAGGGGGAUGCCAGGCGUGCCUUAGGAUGAAAUGCUUGGGAACAGGCUCCAGUCAUGCCCAGGAAAGGAGGAACGCCAGCUCUUGCUAUCCAAUCAAUGCAUUCUGAAAGGAAACAGCAAGAAGCUAAGAAAACAAAUAGUUUAAGGAGAAGCUCAACUAAUUCUCUUCCACAGCUUCACAUAAAAGUCCUUCCAGUUUUGAGCAGGAAUACUUUGCAAUAAAGCAAACCUGCAACCAUUGCUUCCAGACACAUUGUGCAAAUAACGAAUCCCAUAAAAUUAGCAGCAGCCAAAUGGCAAAUAAUAUUUCCUGGUGACAUUUGCCAAAAAGCUUUACACACCAUUAACUGAGUCUCACAACGAGCAAUCAGCAGGAGCUUCGUUUCCUCCAGCGCAGUAAGAGGGGACCCUGCAGCACCGGAGCUGCUGCAGACGUGAGGCUGAUCCCCACAAAGCCUCAUCCUCGAGCCAUUCCCACGCAGGGAGUAGUGCCGUUAGGACCCACAAAACUUUGAUGUAACCCCCAGAAAACAGUUUUAAUAGUGAACCGCAGCAGAUGCACAGGAAAGGGGAAGAGCUGGGAGCACAGGGCGCCCCGCAGCCCUCGAGCUGCCCCGGUGACCACAGAAAUCCAUCUGUUUACUUGAAAAGGUGCCUGGAGAUCGUGGCCUUCACAGGUUCCUGUUUCAGGUGCCUGGAGCCCCCUGGCUAGGCCAGGUCCUGCAGAACCAGAGAUGUUUUGGCACCAGGUCUCUUCAUACAGCCCAUGAGGGAGAUGUGGCUCACCACGAGUCCCGCUAGAAGCCAGCAGGCUCACCCAUCACACAGGGCACACAACUAAGCAGAGGAACCCCCGCAGGAUGCUGCCAAGCUGCUGCGUGUCAUGGAGCACCCAGGACCACCACCACGGAGCUGCCAGCAGCCUCGGGCUGUUUGACCAGAGCUGCAGCAGAGAGGUUUCCUUCACGGCACUCCAGACACAGCAGAUGCUCACGAUUUGGGAUAUACGAUCCAGGGUAGCUGAAGCACAAGGGCAGAAGAGGUAAACAAACUGUUCUGCACCUGAAUAAGCAGCAGCGCUGCUGUGUUGCUGAUGAUGUUCUGGGUUCGUGCACAACAGAAUGUUUUACCAGGGACGUGUCGUAGCAGAAAUAUCAGGGUGUGUCAGUCACGUAUUUGUAUUUGCAAUUAACGCCGGUUCUGCCUCGAGGAAUGCACCGUUUUGUUACCUCUAAUGCUUGCGUGCCAUUCAUCUGCAAUUACCGUGUCAGGAAAAAUGGAAGGCAGUAAUUCUGUACCACAAAGAUUUUUGUUCAUUGCAGGAGCUCUUGAAUUGGAGAGUGUCCUUUUAGGGUAAUAAAAAAUGAAAUGAAAUGCAAAUUCUGUAGAAAAUGACCUAAUUGCUUCUCAUUUCAUGCAUUUAUUUGGGAUCUCAAAUCACCCAACUAUCUGCUCAGAAUUCUCUCUGAUUGAA